AUUGAACGCUGGCGGCAGGCCUAACACAUGCAAGUCGGGCGCGCGGCGGACGGGUGAGUAAUGUAUGUGGAUCUUCCUGAUGUCGGGGGAUAACUCCUGGAAACGGUAGCUAUUACCGCAUACCCUCAUAUGAAUCCAUAUGGGAUUGGCUUGUAGGUGAGGUAACGGCUAACCCAGGUGACGAUCCCUAGCUGGUCUGAGAGGAUGAUCAGCCACACUGGGACUGAGACACGGCCCAGACUCCUACGGGAGGCAGCAGUGGGGAAUAUUGCACAAUGGGCGCAAGCCUGAUGCAGCCAUGCCGCGUGUAUGAAGAAGGCCUUCGGGUUGUAAAGUACUUUCAGUCGGGAGGCGUUACCGACAGAAGAAGCACCGGCUAACUCCGUGCCAGCAGCCGCGGUAAUUC
rnacentral:rRNA from 1 species